GCAUACCAAGUGCAUAGCAGAGUAGCCGUGUCCGGCAGGGAUAAACGCUGAAGGCAUCUAAGCGUGAAGCCCCCCUCAAGAUGAGAUAUCCCUGUGAGUGAUCACGUAAGACCCCUUGAAGACGACGAGGUUGAUAGGUCCGAGGUGUAAGUGCAGUAAUGUACUAAGCUGACGGUUACUAAUAGGUCGAGAGCUUCACUAG
rnacentral:rRNA from 1 species